UCGGGCAUUGCAAACGCCCACGUAUUGACCCGCAGCCAGCCAGCAUAGCGGUGAAAAAGGUGUGCUUGUGACCGCUGAGCCCGCAAAGUCCAAAAACCGAAUGUCGGACGGCAUCGACUUUCCGAAUUCCCGCACUUACCGUACGCGAGUGAUAUAUCCAAUGACCGUUUCGAAAAUUCAUUCAUGUGAAAAUAUUUUAUUACUUCGGUAACGUAAACACAUUUUUUUUAUAAUCGCGAACAAUUUGAUCGGCCGCUCGCCACUUUGUUUUGCUAUUAUUGUGUGUAUUAUUAUUAUACAGUUAACAAUUGAACAACUGGAGUUUCGCCAAACGCGAACAUUUUAUAUUUUAAGGGUGCCGUGGUCGUAAAAGUUUGGGGACCUCCGUAAUCUAAGUAUGUUGACCAGUGUAGGGUAAAGUGGAAUUUACAACCGGCUGCCGUGCUGCUGAACGACUCGUGUUUAUAAUAUUUCCUGGUCGAUCGCAUACCAUUAUUACUGUUAUUAUCAUUAUCAUUGUUAUUACUACUAUAAUUUUCAUUACUAUUAUUGUUAUUAUGUCAAAAAGCAGAAAGUACAAAUUAUUAUG